rnacentral:rRNA from 1 species
GACGAACGCUGGCGGCGUGCCUAAUACAUGCAAGUCGAGCGGACCGGAUUGGGGCUUGCCUUGAUUCGGUCAGCGGCGGACGGGUGAGUAACACGUGGGCAACCUGCCCGCAAGACCGGGAUAACUCCGGGAAACCGGAGCUAAUACCGGAUAACACCGAAGACCGCAUGGUCUUCGGUUGAAAGGCGGCCUUUGGGCUGUCACUUGCGGAUGGGCCCGCGGCGCAUUAGCUAGUUGGUGAGGUAACGGCUCACCAAGGCGACGAUGCGUAGCCGGCCUGAGAGGGUGACCGGCCACACUGGGACUGAGACACGGCCCAGACUCCUACGGGAGGCAGCAGUAGGGAAUCUUCCGCAAUGGGCGAAAGCCUGACGGAGCGACGCCGCGUGAGCGAAGAAGGCCUUCGGGUCGUAAAGCUCUGUUGUGAGGGACGAAGGAGCGCCGUUCGAAGAGGGCGGCGCGGUGACGGUACCUCACGAGAAAGCCCCGGCUAACUACGUG